rnacentral:sRNA from 1 species
GCCAUCUGGCUUUGACCACUUCACCAUUAGCCAUACAUCAUAACCAUCAUGUCACAAUCAUAAAACACGUUCAUGACAUAGUGCAAAUGCCAUCAUAGGACAACAUAUCAUGAUAUAUGGGGAAAACACAGAGGAUUAAGUAUGUCUAUCCCAACGCCCUAUAAGAUACCUAGGUAUAUAUAGCAUGUACAGUACAAACAGGCCUCCUUUUCCUACCAGCACAUGCAUACAAGUCUUCAACUCAAUCAUGAGAGGAAGAAAAAAAAAUUCAAUUCCAAAAAAAUUCAUUCCUUCAAGUCUUUAGGCGGAUGUGGCUCCUUGGCUAUUGUUGACAACUCUACCACCCCCUUGUGCGAUACCACAACCAUCUCUACCCCAGCCACUUCCACCACGUUCUAAAGUCGAAGGGGGAGGAUCAUUAUUGUACGACUG